rnacentral:rRNA from 1 species
UACGUAGGGUGCGAGCGUUGUCCGGAAUUAUUGGGCGUAAAGAGCUCGUAGGCGGUGUGUCACGUCGGCCGUGAAAACCUGCAGCUUAACUGUGGGCGUGCGGUCGAUACGGGCAUCACUGGAGUUCGGCAGGGGAGACUGGAAUUCUCGGUGUAGCGGUGAAAUGCGUAGAUAUCGAGAGGAACACCUGCGGCGAAGGCGGGUUGCUGGGCUGAUACUGACGCUGAGGCGCGAAAGCGUGGGGAGCAAACAGG